rnacentral:tRNA from 1 species
GUUUGGGUGGUGUAGUUGGUUAUCACGUUAGUCUCACACACUAAAGGUCCCCAGUUCGAACCUGGGCUCAGACA